rnacentral:rRNA from 1 species
GAUCCUGGCUCAGGAUGAACGCUAGCUACAGGCUUAGCACAUGCAAGUCGAGGGGCAGCAUGGUCUUAGCUUGCUAAGGCCGAUGGCGACCGGCGCACGGGUGAGUAACACGUAUCCAACCUGUCGUCUACUCUUGGACAGCCUUCUGAAAGGAAGAUUAAUACAAGAUGGCAUCAUGAGUUCACAUGUUCACAUGAUUAAAGGUAUUCCGGUAGACGAUGGGG